CACGUAGGGCGCAAGCGUUGUCCGGAAUUAUUGGGCGUAAAGAGCUCGUAGGCGGUCUGUUGCGUCUGCUGUGAAAACUCGGGGCUUAACCCCGAGCCUGCAGUGGAUACGGGCAGACUAGAGGUAGGUAGGGGAGAAUGGAAUUCCCGGUGUAGCGGUGAAAUGCGCAGAGAUCGGGAGGAACACCAACGGCGAAAGCAGGUACCUGGACUAUUACUGACACUCAGCUGCGAAAGCUAGGGGAGCAAACAGG
rnacentral:rRNA from 1 species